GAAAAAAGCACAACUUCUACUUACCACCAGCACACAAUAUAAGAACUGAAAUACAUGUUAAGAUCACUACCUUCUGAUGUAUGAGGUCAAAAAAAUAUGCAGCAUUAUAAUGAAUAAGAAUUCACUAACAGCCGGGUGCAGUGGCUCAUGCCUGUAAUUCCAGCACUUUGGGAGGCCGAGGUGGGAAGACCAUGAGGUCAGGAGUUCAAGAAUAGCCUGGCCAACGUGGUGAAACCAUAACUCUACUAAAAAUACAAAAAAAUUAGCUGGGUGUGGUGGCGGGUGCCUGUAAUCUCAGCUACUCAGAAGGCUGAGGCAAGAGAAUCGUUUGAACCCAGGAGGUAGAGUUUGUGGUGAGCCAAGGUCCCACCACUGCACUCCAGCUUGAGUGACAGGGUGAGACUUCGUCUCUAAGAAAAAAAAAAAGAAUUGACUAAUAGUGCCGGAGGGUGCAAUUAUGAUGUCACAACUACAUUUAUGAAACAGCCAGGCAAUACAGCAAUUCUAUAUAUAUAUAUACAUUGCCCUAUGUAUCUAGUUCACUAUGCAUAAAAUAUAAAACAUAGAAUGUGUACUGGGAAAAUUUAUAAACUGAGAUCAGAGAAAACAUUGUAUGAAACAAAUUAAACAAUAAAAACAUAAAUAAGAUGAUGCAGGCUCCCUGGUCUGAAUGUUUGUAUUGGCCAAACGCCAUGUUCAGAGUUCUUAUUCUCCAAUAGGAUGUUCCUGCAGAUGGGGCCUUUGAGACAAUUUGGUCACGGGUGUUGACUACUCGUGAAUAGGACUUGUGCUUUCAUAAAAAGAGACAUUAAAGAGCUCGUUGCCUGUUCCUGUUUCCACCAUGUCAGGACAUGGCAGGAAGAUGGCUGGGCUAAACCAUGAGGAAGGCUCUCACCAGGAACCAAUGUGGCUGGCACCUUGCUCUUGGAUUUCCCACUUUCCAAACUCAUGAGAAAUAAAUUUCUGUGUCUUAAGCCUCCCAGUUUAAGCUAUUUCUUUUUUUGUUUGUUUUUGAGACCGAGUCACGCUCUAUCACCCAGGCUGGAGUGUAGUGGCACGAUUCUCCUGCCUCAAGAGAUUCUCCCGCCUCAGCCUGUAGUCUCACUUUGGUGCCCAGACUGGAGUGCAGUGGUGUAACCUUGGCUCACUACAACCUCCACCUCCCGGGUUCAAGAUUCUCCUUCCUCAGCCUCUCGAGUACUUGGGAUAACAGCCAUGUGCCACCACGCCCAGCUAAUUCUUGUAUUUUUAGUAGAGACAGGGUUUCACCAUGUUGGUCAGGCUGGUCUCAAAUUCCUUAACUCAGGUGAUCCGCCCCUCUCGGCCUCCCAAAGUGCUGGGAUUACAGGCUUGAGCCACUACACCUAGCCAAUUUCUUGUAUUUAGUAGAUUCGAGGUUUCACCAUGUUGGCCAGACUGGUCUCAAACUCCUGACUUCAAGCUAUCUGCCCACCUCAGCAUCCC
rnacentral:lncRNA from 1 species